AGUGAACGCUGGCGGUAGGCCUAACACAUGCAAGUCGAACGAGUGGCGGGCGGGUGAGGAAUACAUCGGAAUCUCCUCUGUCGUGGGGGAUAACGUAGGGAAACUUACGAUAAUACCGCAUACGAUUGAAUGAGCCGAUGUUGGAUUAGCUAGUUGGCGGGGUAAAGGCACACCAAGGCGACGAUCCGUAGCUGGUCUGAGAGGAUGAUCAGCCACACUGGAACUGGGACACGGCCCAGACUCCUACGGGAGGCAGCAGUGGGGAAUAUUGGACAAUGGGCGCAAGCCUGAUGCAGCCAUGCCGCGUGGUUGAAGAAGGCCCUCGGGUUGUAAAGUACUUUUGGUCGGAAAGCGGUACCGAAAGAAUAAGCACCGGCUAACUUCGUGCCAGCCGCCGCGGUAAUAC
rnacentral:rRNA from 1 species